GGCGCUCUGCCCGAGUGGUUAAGGGGUAAGUCUCGAAUCAAUGUGUUUCGAUCAUCUCCCUCAAGAUGAGUUAACUUAUAGGCUCUGCCUGCGUCGGUUCAAAUCCGACGGGCGUCG